rnacentral:tRNA from 1 species
GGGCUCGUGGCUUAGCCUGGUAUAGCACCACUCUGAUAAGGUGGGGGUCGCAGGUUCAAAUCCUGUCGAGCCCA